GACGUAGGGCGCGAGCGUUGUCCGGAUUUAUUGGGCGUAAAGAGCUCGUAGGCGGUCUGUCGCGUCGGUCGUGAAAACUUGGGGCUUAACCCUGAGCUUGCGGUCGAUACGGGCAUGACUGGAGUUCGGCAGGGGAGACUGGAACUCCUGGUGUAGCGGUGGAAUGCGCAGAUAUCAGGAAGAACACCAACGCGAAGGCAGCUCGCUGGGACGGAACUGACGCUAAGGCGCGAAAGCGUGGGGAGCGAACGAGGA
rnacentral:rRNA from 1 species